rnacentral:rRNA from 1 species
AUUGAACGCUGGCGGCAUGCCUUACACAUGCAAGUCGAACGGUAACAGGUCUUCGGAUGCUGACGAGUGGCGAACGGGUGAGUAAUACAUCGGAACGUGCCUAGUAGUGGGGGAUAACUACUCGAAAGAGUGGCUAAUACCGCAUGAGAUCUACGGAUGAAAGCAGGGGAUCGCAAGACCUUGUGCUACUAGAGCGGCCGAUGGCAGAUUAGGUAGUUGGUGGGAUAAAAGCUUACCAAGCCGACGAUCUGUAGCUGGUCUGAGAGGACGAUCAGCCACACUGGGACUGAGACACGGCCCAGACUCCUACGGGAGGCAGCAGUGGGGAAUUUUGGACAAUGGGCGCAAGCCUGAUCCAGCAAUGCCGCGUGCAGGAUGAAGGCCUUCGGGUUGUAAACUGCUUUUGUACGGAACGAAAAGCCCUGGGUUAAUACCCUGGGGUCAUGACGGUACCGUAAGAAUAAGCACCGGCUAACUACGUGCCAGCAGCCGCGGUAAUAC